UAGGGAAUCUUCGGCAAUGGGGGCAACCCUGACCGAGCAACGCCGCGUGAGUGAAGAAGGUUUUCGGAUCGUAAAGCUCUGUUGUAAGAGAAGAACGUGUGUGAGAGUGGAAAGUUCACACAGUGACGGGAACUUACAAGAAAGGGACGGCUAACUACGUGCCAGCAGCCGUGGUAAUACGUAGGUCCCGAGCGUUGUCCGGAGUUAUUGGGCGUAAAGCGAGCGCAGGCGGUUUUAUAAGUCUGAAGUUAAAGGCAGUGGCUUACACAUUGUUCACUUUGGAAACUAUUAGACUUGAGUGCAGAAGGGGAGAGUAGAAUUCCAUGUGUAGCGGUGAAAUGCGUAGAUGAGUGGUGGAGCACCGGUGACGAAGGCGGCUCUCUCGUCUGUAACGGACGCUGAGGCUCGAAAGCAUAGGGAGCAAACAGG
rnacentral:rRNA from 1 species